GAUGUCACCACUCUCAUAUACAUAUCGUUCCGACUCUCUUUCAUGUGCUGUAUGCGUGACGUAUCAGUGUGUUGUGAAACACAAGGAAUAUUUGCUGUCAUCAUGCCAGUCGUCUCCUUUAAUGAAGCUGCGUCACUGCACGGCCUCGAAUCUGGCAACAUUGAUGCCUUCACCCAAAAAGAUCACGUUCUCGUGAUGCCUGCAGCAGAAAAGAUGUUCCACGUCCGCUGCCAAGGUAUGCCUGUGUGAUACACCUUUCCUCUACUUGGCAAACAAGGAACCACGUCAAAUGGACUUGCGCAGGAAAGAAGCGCAGGAAGAACACCACCAAGAACAAGUAAAGAAGCCCAAAAUGUAAAACAAAGAUUACUUUAGUAGAAUAUAACUUUAAAAGAAAGCAGUUGGCAACCCAGGCACACAACCUUCGCGAAGUUGUGUUCCUUCGCCAGCCAAUCACAGACGCAAACAAAAUCAUUGUCAUGUGGCCUUUUCAAAAUGGCGUCGUACUUGAUACCUCAGGAGCAUCUGCUGUUCUUGAAGAGUCUUUUCAUCGGUGGAAGCAAUGAGGUGUGCAACAGACAUAGACAAAAUAUAUGGACUCUGAACAUUUCACUCUUCAAAAGUCUGUGGUGCCGCUGAUUUCACUUCUGAACCUGUUUUACUCAUGAAACUUCAGUGCGAACUGAAAUGAAACUUGACAAUAAAUAGUUGCAGCAAAGCAAGCAUGUUAUUUCAGUUCAAUAAAAAAUUAGGCUUCAGCCAUUCCACUAUAACAGACGAGGGAAAAGAUAUA